UUUAACUUGUACUUUUAUAGCUUAGAAUGGAAGAGAUGCUUAUUUCUUCCUUAAAAUUAAACUGGUGGGAAGUAAAAUCAAGUAAGAAAUGCAACCCAGAACCAUUUUUGGCUCAGAAGUAAAAUGCCACAAGAGGAAGCACGUUGUUGUGUCUCAACCUUCCCAACCUUCUCAUAUGCUCCUGGAACUCUUCUCUUCCCACAUUAUUCAUUUGUCUAAAUCUCUUCACAACCAUAACCCGGCGAGAGGCUCCAAUAGCUGCUUUGAACGUAGAUCCAAAAACCCCGCUCCCCAAUAUUUCAGCAGAGGCUUUCAAUAAGUCAGGUUCACUUUCUGCAGGAGGCACUCCUUUUUCCACGCUGUCCAUAUCCACAGAGGGUCCUUUCUUGUGGACUUGCGAUGCAGGUGGGACGUUUUGGUUUUGUGCUACAGGGUCUUCUUUACGACGCCGAAGGAUGCCAAUAGCCACAAAUAUUGACGCCAGUGCUGCCACUGCAAGUAAUACACAAAGGAUAAUGGUUCCAACUGGUACUUUUGUCGGAGAAGGACAUGGAGGCAUGGGCCCACCGCAGAGUUCGUCGUUGCCUGGAUGGACACAUACGGAAGGAUCAAUUGUAAAUUACAGCUUAAUAGUUAGUUUCAAUCCCCAUACGCUGGCAUCUUGACAAAGAACACCUGCCCAAGAACCACCUGGACAUGGAGGUUUAGCAGGAUCCCAACUCGACAAUGCAGCAACACUGUCACCCAACGAAGCUUUGAACUUGAGGAGGAC